UGAGGCUCAAGGAUGCAGUUGGAGGAGAUGCAUCAGUAAAGACAAGGAAGUGUUGGAUUUCCACUUAGUGUUUGCAGAGGCCAUGCAGGAAUCCUUCAUCCUGGCACAGUGCUUUGGCUGUAUGUUGCUGUUCUACCAAGGCAUAGCAACUGAUUGCUCACAGGAGGCAAAAAGAAACAUAGCUGCAUUUGGAGGAGCAUGCAUCAUAGCUCUGAAACAUUAUUUAAUUUUUUUUUUUCAGAAAUCUGUUUUAAUUAAUUUCAAAAUGAAUUUGAAAACCUGUGCUGCUAUUAUUGGAAAUAACAGUUACUUUCAGCCAUUAUUUGAAGCUGCAACAUGUAUGUCACAGCCAUGGAAUAAUGCUGUUUGGAAGGGACCUGUGGAGGUUGUUUCAUCUAACGCCCUGCUUUAAAGUGGACCAACUGCUUUGUUACUGGUGUCGAAAAUGAAUGUAGUAAUCCUGGAAGUGAGCAGCAGUGCAGGUUUACUUUGUGCUGCUGGUUUUGAGUGUGUAAUUAGAUCUGCCAAAGCUGAGAGUAUGCACUUGACCACCACUGUAGGCUAAAAUUGUGUUUUCAGUAAAUAAUCUGUGGCUGAAAACUUUGUUAUUAAACUUUUUGAUAAACAGUGUAACAUUGCUCUGACUUUUGGUGAUUGUCACUAACUAA